AACGAACGUUAGCGGCGCGCCUAACACAUGCAAGUCGAGCGAGAAAGGGAGCAAUCCCCGGUACAGCGGCGCACGGGUGAGUAACACGUAGGUAAUCUGCCUCAGAGUGGGGGAUAACCUUCCGAAAGGAGGGCUAAUACCGCAUAAGACCACGGUUCCGAGAGGAGCAGGGGUCAAAGCCGGCCUCUAUACAUAAGCUGGCGCUUGGAGAUGAGCCUGCGGCCCAUCAGCUAGUUGGUAGGGUAAUGGCAUACCAAGGCAACGACGGGUAGCAGGUCUGGAGGGAGGAUCAGCCACACUGGAACUGGGACACGGUCCAGACUCCUGCGGGAGGCAGCAGUGGGGAAUCUGGCGCAAUGGGCGAAGGCCUGACGCAGCGACGCCGCGUGAGUGAUGAAGGCCUUCGGGUUGUAAAGCUCUGUGGAGGGGGACGAAUAAGGGCAGCCUAAUACGCUGACUGAUGACGGUACCCCUUUAGCAAGCACCGGCUAACUCUGUGCCAGCCGCCGCCGUAACAC
rnacentral:rRNA from 1 species